rnacentral:rRNA from 1 species
UACGUAGGGUGCAAGCGUUGUCCGGAAUUAUUGGGCGUAAAGAGCUCGUAGGCGGUCUGUCGCGUCUGCUGUGAAAACUCAGGGCUUAACCCCGAGCCUGCAGUGGAUACGGGCAGACUAGAGUGUGGUAGGGGAGAUCGGAAUUCCUGGUGUAGCGGUGAAAUGCGCAGAUAUCAGGAGGAACACCGGUGGCGAAGGCGGAUCUCUGGGCCUUACCUGACGCUGAGGAGCGAAAGCGUGGGGAGCGAACAGG